rnacentral:snRNA from 1 species
GGAUAUGAAUGGCUAGAAUGUUUGUCACCUGACUGAUCGUCAGAAUUGAUUUGGUUGAUUUCCCUGGAUAGUCUCUUUUUUUUCUUCAUUGAUCUAAAUACCCUCUGGAAGCUGAGCUCACAGAUGAAAAAUGUGUCCUUACCAGACUGACAGAGAAGAAUGUUCUUGGGUCUGGGGUUCCUCUCUUCUUUGCAUCAUUUAGUGAGAAUCUCUUAAAACUCGAAGGGUGCAGGUAGGGAGAAAGUAGGAGCACGGUCACUGAGAAAAUCUGGGCAUUGGGUUUGUCCAGGUCUGU